rnacentral:tRNA from 1 species
CGGGGCGUAGCGCAGUCAGGUAGCGCACCAGCUUUGGGAGCUGGGGGUCCCCGGUUCAAAUCCGGGCGCCCCGA